UUUAUCUGUUGAGCCUUUAUGUGGCACCAACUGUGUGCACUAUUACCCGGUUUUACAGAUGAUGGAGGCCCAGAAGCAGGAGGUGGCUGGUGUUAGGUCACACAGCUAGGAGGCAGCAGAACGGUGGGGCGCUGCCUGUGCUCUUAACCCCCAGGCCAAGUCACCCCAUCAGGCAGUCAGGAGGGCUGGCGGCAGGGGGUGAUGUGGGCGGGAGGUAGUGCCUUCUCGGCAUUCUCACUGCAGCCUGGGUGCCGGGUGCCACUCUGACCUCAGCCAUGGCAGGGUGGGGGGAUGCCGAUGGGCGCUGCAGGGUCUCUCAGAGGCCCCUCACCUAUGGCCAUGGCCUUGACUGUGGGGGCCUCUGUCUGCCGAUGAUCUCCCUUCAUCCCCUACAGGUGGGGCGGUCCAGGGUGGUGGGGGCACAGUGGCCCCGGGCAGUGACCACAGGGUCCUGACCCGCGGCCCCCGCAGGCGGGCUGCAUGCUGUUCCCCCACAUCUCCCCCUGUGAGGUGCGCGUGCUCAUGCUCCUGUACUCGUCCAAGAAGAAGAUCUUCAUGGGCCUCAUCCCCUACGACCAGAGCGGCUUCGUCAGUGCCAUCCGGCAGGUCAUCACCACCCGCAAGCAGGUGUGCCAGCCAAGCACAGCCCUUGUGGGGACAGAGGGGGUUAGGCCCCACUGCCCUGGUUGGGCAGCCAGACUUGGUGUGGGCGGAGUGUGAUGCGAUGGGCCCCAGGACAGACAGAGGUUUCCCAGGAGCCUGGGCCCCUCUUCCCACCCUGUUCCCUUCCAACAGGCAGUGGGACCUGGUGGUGUCAACUCAGGCCCAGUCCAGAUCGUCAACAACAAGUUUCUGGCAUGGAGUGGCGUCAUGGAGUGGCAGGAGGUGAGCCCUCGGCAGCCCGGGGACUUGGGACCCCCAGAUCCUCACGGACUGUGGCUGGGAGGGGAGACUGGCGUUGGGGGGUCUCCAGCCCUGAGGGCUCCUCUUUGCCUCUCCCCCAAAAGCCCAGGCCUGAGCCCAACAGUCGGUCCAAGAGGUGGCUGCCAUCCCACGUCUACGUGAACCAGGGGGAGAUCCUGUGAGUGCUGGGCUGGGGGGUGGAGGCAGCAUCCAGGGGAGCUGGGGCUUCCUGACCCUCGUCCCUUUGUGCCCCACAGGAGGACCGAGCAGUGGCCAAGGAAGCUGUACAUGCAGCUCAUCCCGCAGCAGCUGCUGGUGAGGGGCUGGGACCGGGUGCUUGAGCCUGCACACAGUAGCUCUUCCAGAGGGCGGGGCUGGGGGCAAGAGCGCCUCCCCAGGUGGCCUGAGCUGGCUGUGAGGGAGCGGAGCUGAGGGUGCUGAAGCAGGCGUGGUGGGUAGGUCCUCAGGCCUGGCUUCAAGGGGUCCCAGGCAGCCAGCUGGUGGCUGUGCAGGGACUGAGCAGGGCAGGGGCAGCCACGACCUGCACCUGGGGGGCUGCCAAGGGAUCUGAGAGCGGCUUCCAC
rnacentral:sRNA from 1 species